GCGAAAUUCCUUGUCGGUUAAGUUCCGACCUGCACGAAUGGCAUAAUGAUGGGGGCGCUGUCUCCAGCAGAGGCUCAGUGAAAUCGAAAUCGCCGUGAAGAUGCGGUGUACCCGCGGCUAGACGGAAAGACCCCAUGAACCUUUACUGUAGCUUUGCAUUGGACUUUGAACCGGUUUGUGUAGGAUAGGUGGGAGGCUUUGAAGCAGGAA
rnacentral:rRNA from 1 species